rnacentral:rRNA from 1 species
ACUUUCUGAAUCUGCGAACGGCUCCGCAUACCAGUUGUAUACAAUAGCGAGUCAGGAUUUCGAAUACGCCCUAGUGGUGGCUUCGAUUUCCUGUAUAUGGAUAACCCUGGUAAUUCUGAGGCUAAUACGCGGACUUACUACCAUCGAACGGGGCAACCUGAACGGUGGGAUCGUGUGGGCAUUUAUGCACACCCGAUAGGGAUGAUUCCAUGCACGAUCAGACCGCCAACCCCUAGGGGAAACUCGCCAGUCUCGGUUAGUACUUCACGGGAAACCCUUGGCUGGUGGGGGCGGCUCUCGCUUGUGCACCUGACCUAUCAACUACACAGCAGCCUAUAGGACAUGCUAUGGUUACAACGGGUACAGAGGAUAAGGGUUCGAUCCUGGAGAGUGGGCCUGAGAGAUU